AAUCAAAUUGGUAGGUAACAGAAACUGAGUCGGUGUGAACUUGCAACUUCAAUACCUAAUUGUAUGGAUUUAUGCUUUCUGGUUUUCACUUCCCAUCCCUUACAAUCACUCCACCUCGACCCACCAAGUAAACAAAUACCCACAGCCCAGAUUUCCAGCCCUUUCAAAAGGAGCAGCAGGAUGAACAUGAAAAAGAUACCCAUCUGCGCAAGUGAUUUUCCUAUGCGAAUCUUUAAUGCUCAAAGAGAUUUGAACGAUGGAGAGUAGUAUCGAUCGUUGUGACAAUAAAUCGGUGGCAUCAACCAAUCAAAGAAAAGGCUUUAUGGAAUCAGAUUACAGAAUCCAUCAACUCUGAAAGUGGGUCAAGUAUUCAUUGGCUUUGGAAUUGGUUGUGGUAUUGGCGUGGGUCGCCCGUUAAAUCUAGGUGCGAUACCUAUGCUGGGCCAAGUUAUGACUGCAACUAGAGGAGCAACGAAUGCAUUUUCUGGUGUUAGCAGACAUGUAAACGGUGUUUCUUUCUCAUGUUUUUUAGUUAUUGAAAUUGGGAGCUAAGAACACUCAAGCUGGGAUUGGAUGUGGAGUUGGUCUCGGCCAUGGUUUUGGUGUUGGUCUGCAAUCAUGUUGAGAAGAAAUAGCCGAGUACUUAUUAUAAUA